ACAUGCUGAGCGUUUGUUAAAAAAAUCCUGCAUGAUGAAUCCCCCUGAGCGGCGGGGCAUAAUGACAGAUGUUUGGUUGCGUAUUGUAUAGGCAAGUUGCGGAUUCUGUCUGGUCAUUGCAGAAUUCACCGGGAGGCACCCGGCAUCAUGCUGUAUACAGAGAUUAGGCAUAUAUCCAGGCUUCUCAUCGCAGGAGCCUUUUUACAUGC
rnacentral:sRNA from 1 species